rnacentral:tRNA from 15 species
GCCCUCGUAGUUAAAUGGAUAUAACUGGAGACUUCUAAUCUCCCAUUCUAGGUUCGAUUCCUAGCGAGGGCACC